GAGAGAUUCAACAAAUUUCCACCAUGGAUCCAUUGAUCUCUAAGGAAAAUGGUGAUGAAGAACUCGAAGGAGCUGAGUGCUUUGCAUGUUGGAAGCCAUUACUAGAUUCUGUGUAUUUAUCUCCUGAUUGUGGAUUUUACCUACAUGCCAAAUGUUUAGAUCCAUGUGCAGUCAAUCACCUUCCCCUCCAUGAACAUCCUCUUAUUUUACAGUUUAACAGUGAACUUCUCUAUUGCAAGAUAUGCCAAGAAACCCAACGUAGGGGAUUUGUUUAUUGUUGUUCAAUUUGCAAGUUUGCUCUUCACAUUGAAUGCGGGUCACCACCACCAAUUAUUGAAGAUAAAAGUCACCAACACCCUUUUGUCUUAUUUUGUAGACGUGUCUCAUUUAUUUGUGAUGCAUGUGGCACUGAAGGGAAUUAUGUAUCCUACAUUUGUUCUACAUGUGGCGUUAUAGUUCAUAGAAAAUGUAUUUCAUUGCCACGCACCCUCAAACACCCAAGGCAUUUUGAGCACCCUAUUUCCCACACCUAUUUCCUUGGGCAAGAUAAGUUUAAAUUGUCGGAAUGCAGAAUUUGCCAUAUAGAGGAUGUGAAUUCAAAGCAUGGAAGCUACUCUUGUUUAGAUUGCGAUUAUAUUGUCCAUGUGAAUUGUGCAAUAGAAGAUUAUAAGUGGUACAAAUUUGACGAGUUAGAUGAGAAUGUUGAAGAAAAUUCAGAAUUGCAACCAUAUGCUGUUGUUGAGGAGACUAAAGAUGGAGAAAAUGUGAUAGCUAUCGAGAUAAAACAUUUUAGCCAUCAACACAACUUAAUCUUUAGCAAUGAGAUCAAGGAUGAUAAAUGUUGUGACGGUUGCGUGCUAUCCAUCUCUACUUCUUAUUAUUAUUGUUCACUGUGUAAUUUCUUUCUCCACAAAUCCUGUGCUGAAUUACCAAGAAAGAAGCAUCUCUGGUUUCACGAUCACCCAAAGCUUCAUCCACUUACUUCAGGCUACAUUUUCCGAUGUGUAAUUUGUGAGUGUGAAACUAGUGGUUUUGCCUACACUUGUGCUAAAUGCAAGGACUACUUUUGCCUUCGAUGUGCUGUAUUUUCUGAUAGCCACAAGUGUCAAGGACAUGAACACGUCCUCCCUUUUUAUGAAGAUUAUCAAGGGUUGUGUAAUGCCUGUGGUGAGUCUACAACAUGUGCAUACAGAUGCAAGAAAUGUGAUUUCUCUUUGCAUGAUACAUGUAUCAAAUUACCACUUAAAGCUCAACACAAAUCUGAUGUGCAUCACUUCACACUCACUUAUCAUGAUGGUAAUAAUUAUUCAGAAUCUCAUUAUUGUGAUAUUUGUGAAGAAGAAAGAAAUCCAAACCAUUGGUUUUAUUAUUGUGCAAAAUGUGACAAUUCAGCUCAUCCCAACUGCCUUCUUGAAAAAUACUCAUUUAUCAAGCUUGGGAGCAUCUACACAAAAGGAGAUCAUUCACACCCUCUCACUUUUGUCCAGAAGGUUCAUUAUUAUCCAAAAUGCCAUGAUUGUGGUGAGCCCUGCCUUGAUCUAGCUCUUGAAUGCAGAACAAUUGGAUCCAACUAUAUUGUUCAUUGGGAAUGUAUAAAAUAUCAAAAAGUUGGAAGAUAAAAAUAUUAUUGUUUGCCAAAAUAAUUAUUGUUGUUCAAGCAGCGAUGAGACAAAUAAGCAGUUUGAUGAUGGCACUGAAAUAUGCUGCUUUGCAUGGUUGUUCCUAAACUAUUUGUAAUUAUUCUGUGUUAAGUAUUUGUGUCCUUAUUUGGUUAUCGUCAUAUGAGAAUUUCCAAAAUUCUGACUUGAUAGAGGUAAUGUAAUUAGAAUUAGUUUAUGAUAUUUCUAUUACAUAUUUGAGCAUUGGAAGAUUGCUUGGUAUCUAUAAAGUUCUCUAUUUUUCAACUCAAUCAAUUGAUUUGCUAUUACUAUGAUGUGUUUAUUAUAGUUUAUUAGAUGUUAUGCACUAUUACAUGCUUCAAAAAUGCUGAACUUCCUCUUUGAUUAUAUUAAUUUGUACAGUAGUUUUGCACAUAAAUUUCCUCUUUAAAAACAUCCAUUAUGUUCUUUUGUUGAUUCUUCAAUAAUAUUGUAUACAUGCUCGUUUUCUCAUGAUGGAUGAAUCUAAGAGUAAUAGAAAGAGUCCAAUCCAUUUCUUAAUCUUUCCAAAAAUUCAUAACUCUUUUCAAAAGUCAAAAGAUUUGCAAGUUUCAUCUUCACUCAUAAGCAAAACUUGACUAAACUCUAAACCAAAUUUUAUUUUGAAGAAUUUUCCAUGCUUAAACUAUGAAUCUUCAGAAGAAGCUUUGCUUUAUUAAAGAGAUUGCAUUAAAUCAUUCUAUAUUAUUAUCAAAGAUGAUAACAAUGCACAGAAAUUUGCCUAAGAAACAACUACAAGAUCAAUGUAUAAAGGAAUGAAAUUUAGCAACAAGCAGACAACUUGAGAGGAAAAACUUACUUCUAUACCACGAGCUCCCAAGGGAAAAAAUUUAUAUUUUUGCUAAUCUUUAUGACUGCAAAUAUAAAGAAUUUUCCUUUCCUGAUUCUACAUUAAUGUUCAAUUUCCUUCUUCAACUCUUAAGAAUCAUGUUACAUUCUUAGAUGUGAUAUAAAAUGUCCAUGAAUAAGGCAAUAUGUUCGAUGUUUAGAUGGGCUUAAACACUUUAAAAUGAUAAGAGAUGGAGAGAUUUGGUGAGUUUAUAAUAAUAAGAUUUUGCUAACCUUGUCCUAAAAACACUUUUUAAGAUUACGAAAUUAAAUAAAAUUUUUAAUCUCAAUGUAUUAAAAUUAUUACAUUAACUAUCAAUUAGAUUCAAUGUAUGGUUUUUUAGAUUGUAGAUUUUUUUUUCUUUUUGUGCAGCUUAUACUUUGGAUGUGCUGCUUCUUGAUUAGCUACGCUUUGAGAAUGGUUCUACUUGCUAAUAACCAUGGCUUCCAUUGGUUGCUUACCUUUUUAAAAAAAAUAGCACAAUUGAUUAGAAUAUAAAUGAAACAAUCUAAAGUUUAAAGUUUGAGUGAUCUCUUUCUUCACCUUUCUGUCUCACUUUCCCUCCCACUCAAACUUAAAAUGAAAUGUUUAGUUUAAUAAGGUUCCAAAGUAGCUAUUUAGUCUCAAUUUAAUCAAAACAACUAAACUAAUCAAAAUUCUAAACUAUUUUAGCCUCUGCCUUUAAGACAAAAGCAACAAAAUCAGUACCAUUGAACAUUUUAAUAAAAUAACAAAGACAAUGUGAAUACAAGAUAAGAGAGGGAGGGAUGGGAUGUAAUGGAAAUCUUAAAGAUAAAAGCACUCCUGUCUAUAAGAAAGAGAUUGACAACAUCAAAGAUGAAUAUACCUUAUGAUACCUAGCUUUCUUGUUAAGCUUUACAAGCAUCAAAAACAUAUAAUUUGUAAUCCAAAAUCUCAUGUAAAAAAAAAAAAACCAUUCUAAAAUUUUGAAAGUAAUUACUAAUUCUCCCUCCAAUUGUACGCCAAGAAGAUAAGCAAGAAGGAAAAGAGAAUGAGAAUACUCUUUUGAUUAAAAGGACAGAGAAUGAGAAUGCUUCUUCCAAUUCAGCUUCGAUAUGUGAUUGAGAUUGAUGUUCCUUCGUUUUGCAUUUUGUUUUCUUUUGUUUAUCCUUUUGUUUUGUUUUUUUACUUAGUACUAUUGAUUAUUUCAUCUAAUGCUUCAACUUAGAAGUCGAAAUAAUUGGUCUUUAUAUAAUAAUUCCUGUGGGAUUUAUAUGUUUUCUUUCUUUUUUGUUUUUUAAACAUUUAAAAGCGGGCAUUUUUUUCUAGGUUCGAAGGAAGAGUCAUAGCUUCUGUUUUUGGCAUGUUAUUUGGUUGUUAAUGCUCUGUUUCAUGAAGUUUAUAAGAUCAUAGGUUCUCUAGUUUGGAACAGGUUUCAUUACUCUGAAAUUUAUGUAUAUUGCUCUUAGAAAUAAAUGGUUUUCAUGGAUGGCUUUCUUUGGCCUUUAUAUCUUUCAGGUUGCUUGAGUAUAUUAAUGCUUUAUCUAGUAUUAUUACACAUUUGCAUCCAAUUCAUUUUUGGUAUUUUUUGGGCAUCGUGCCCCUUCUGCUGUUUUUGUUGUAGAAUUUGUAUAUGUCUGCCUCAUUUGGGUUUAAGGAUAAGAGGACUCUGAGAAUAUUUGGGUUCAAAAGCUGUACGAUUGUUUUCCCAUAACAUUUUUUAUUUCUGUUGAUUUCUUUAUUCCAAGUAGACAUGUUAUAUCCACCCUUUGGUGUUCCUUGAAAAAAAAGGCUUGGUUGCUUGGUUCCCUAUUGUUAAUCACAUGAAGUUGUCUUACUUUUCAGAAAAAAAAAAAAGGAAAAGACUAAAGAGAAAGAAAAAGAGAAUAUUGAAGCCAUUCCAAGAGAAAAGGAGCAAGAAAGGGACAAAGAACUGCUAAUUGAACACGAAAAACAAAAGAAAAAAAAGUACAACGUCUAGUGCCCAAUUUAGUUUCGUGGAUCAAUUUAAUUUGGUUAUAGAAACUAAAUAAGUUUAAGAAAAAAAACAUUCUAAAGUUUUGAAAGUAAUUACUAAUGUUCCCUUGAACAAGAAGAAAUGAAAGAAAAGAGAAUGAGAAUACUCUUUUGGUUAAAGGAAAAGACUAAAGAGAAAGAGAAUAUUGAUGAUACCAUUCCAAAGAGAUGAAGGAGCAAGAAAGGGAUAAAGAGCUGAUAAUUAAACAAGAUAAACAAAAGAAAAAAGUCUAUAUCUAUCAUGCAAUUUAGUUUCAUGGAUUUAUUUAAUUUAUCUAACUUGUAAAAAUUGCAAGGAAUAAUUGUAUAUCUGUUGCAAGCUUAGAACCUUACAACUAGGGCCUUGUUAUUUCUUUGAACUAAGAAUCUAAUUAGCAUGCUGCUUAUUUACUUUAGUGGGAAAUUAAAUAGCUUCAAUUGCACAGGAAUUAAAGGCAUUUCUCAAUUCAAUAGAAUAUCUUUGAUUAUUGCUUAUUUUAGAUAACUUUCUAAAAAUUGCUUCCAUUAGAUAAUUAACUAAAAUUUAAGAUUUUGAAAAGAGAAUGAUUAAAUUAACCAUUUAGACCAACAAUCAAUAACAUGUUAUCCUCUUCAUAAGAAUCACCCUUCCAAAAUUUAAAAGAAUAUAUCUAUUUCUUAAUUUAUACCAAUCUUGUCAUGAGUAAAGAGAAAGCAAUGUUUGUAUCGACUGGAACUUGCUUCAUCGAAUCUGGGCAAUGAUUUACUGCUAUUGUAGACUAUGAACCUUUUGUAAAUCAUUCUCUGUUUUUGCAUAUUAAUGAAUAUAACUUUGCUUUUCAAAAAAAAAAAAAAAAAGAAAGCAAUGAAUAUAAGAGAUUACUUUCAAUAAAAAUAAAUUAUGAGUGCAUAUAUAUAUAUAUAUUUUUUCUUUUACUUUUAAAGAGUAACCUUUAGAUGCUCGACCUUUACUCUCCCUCGAAGUUAUGCCAUUCUAAUUUGAUAGUUCUCAUAGAUUUUUUGAGAUAAAAUAGAAAGAAAUAAGUAUUUUUUAAUGUUUUUCGAAAAAGAUAAAUUGUUUCAUUUCAAAAUGUAAUUAUAUAUAUAUGUAUAAUAUUUUAAAUUGAACUUGAGAUGUUGAUGUCUCAUAUUAAGAGAAAGCUUGGGUUCCUAUUGAUUGGUAAUACCAUACACACUUAUACAAUAUGAAAAAAACAGUGCAUAAAUUCUUGGUUUUAAUUACAAAUAUUGUUUAAUUAAUUAAAAAAAUAAAGAUGAAUUUGCUGAAAAUAAAGAAAGAAAACAACAGUAAGAAUUCCUUUCAUUCUAAACAAGUUGCCACUCUCAUAUAAAUAUUUGAACCAUGGACUUAAGCUUCCAUAAAUAACCAUAAACACAUUUUGCUGCUAAUCAACCCACAAACUUACAAAGAAACAAACAGAAAGGAGAGAUGGAGCUGCUUCAGCAUUUUAGCCAUGAACAUCCACUGAUUUUCAGUGAAGAGCAAGGCCAUGAAAGUGAGGAGCAGGCUUAUUGCUCAGGAUGUGGGGAGCUGGUGUUGGGUCCAAGCUUCAGCUGUGUGGAGUGUGGGUUUUACCUUGACAAGAAGUGCGCCGAGGCACCUUCACAGCUGAAUCACCCCUUUCACCGCAACCACAGCCUUAAUCUUCUAGCAAGCUCACCAUAUGAUGCAGGUCCGUUUAUUUGUGAUUUCUGUGGUGAAAUAUGUGACAAGUUUGUUUAUCAUUGUUCUUGUCAUUUAGACCUUCAUAUCAAAUGUGCAUUGUUUUCAUAUAACAUUGCUGAAAAAAGAAUUGGAGAGCUUCAACAAAUUACUCGUAUAGAUCCAUCGAUCUCUAUGGAAAUUGGUAAUGAAGAACUCGAAAGAGCUGAGUGCUUUGCAUGUUGGAAGCCGUUACUAGAUUCUGUGUACUUAUCUCCUGAUUGUGGAUUUUACCUACAUGCCAAAUGUGUUGAUCUACCUGCAGUCAAUCACCUUCCCCUCCAUGAACAUCCUCUUAUUUUACAGUUUAACAGUGAACUUCUCUAUUGCAAGAUAUGCCAAGAAACCCAACGUAGGGG
rnacentral:lncRNA from 1 species